rnacentral:rRNA from 1 species
CUAUUCGCCAGGGAACUACGAGCCCCAGCUUAAAACCCAAAGCACUUGGCGGUCUUUAAAUCCACCUAGAGGAGCCUGUUCUAUAACCGAUAACCCCCGUUCAACCUCACCUUCCCUUGUUAUCCCCGCCUAUAUACCGCCGUCGUCAGCUUACCCCCUAAGGCUAAACAGUAAGCACAAUUGGUUUAACCCUAAACGUCAGGUCGAGGUGUAGCGCAUGAGAAGGAAAGAAAUGGGCUACAUUCACUACCCAAGUGAAUACGAAUGAUAAAUUGAAACAUUCAUCUGAAGGAGGAUUUAGCAGUAAGCAGAAAAUAGAGCGUUCUGCUGAAACUGGUUCUAAAGCGCGCACACACCGCC